rnacentral:rRNA from 1 species
AAUGGGGGAUGCUUACCUGCAAGUCGAACGAGACAAAAGAGAAGUGCUUGCACGGAUCUUUUAGAAAGUGGCGAACGGGUGAGUAACGCGUGGGUAACCUGCCCUAUGGAAAGGAAUAGCCUCGGGAAACUGGGAGUAAUGCCUUAUAAUACAGUGAAGUCGCAUGGCUUUGCUGUUAAACGCUCCGGUGCCAUAGGAUGGACCCGCGUCCCAUUAGCUAGUUGGUGAGAUAACAGCCCACCAAGGCGACGAUGGGUAACCGGUCUGAGAGGGCGAACGGUCACACUGGAACUGAGACACGGUCCAGACUCCUACGGGAGGCAGCAGUGGGGAAUAUUGCGCAAUGGGGGAAACCCUGACGCAGCAAUACCGCGUGAGUGAAGAAGGUUUUCGGAUCGUAAAGCUCUGUUAUUGGGGAAGAAAAAAGACGGUACCCAAGAAGAAAGUCCCGGCUAACUACGUGCCAGCAGCCGCGGUAAUACGUAGGGGACAAGCGUUGUCCGGAUUUACUGGGCGUAAAGGGCACGCAGGCGGUUUUUUAAGUCAGAUGUGAAAGGUACCGGCUCAACCGGUGACAUGCAUUUGAAACUGAAAGACUUGAGUAUUGGAGAGGCAAGUGGAAUUCCUAGUGUAGCGGUGAAAUGCGUAGAUAUUAGGAGGAACACCGGUGGCGAAGGCGGCUUGCUGGACAAAUACUGACGCUGAGGUGCGAAAGCGUGGGGAGCAAACAGGAUUAGAUACCCUGAUAGUCCACGCCGUAAACGAUGAGUGCUAGGUGUUGGGGAGACUCAGUGCCGCAGCUAACGCAAUAAGCACUCCG